GUCUGUUUCCCAUUAUCCUUUGGUGGCAGAAAGACUUGAGAAAAAGGAAACUUUGAUUCCGGCUGCCAGCUAAAAUAACAAUACUGCAUGUCAGUCUUGAAAAAUGUAAGCACUAACGAAUACAGCUCGAUUUCACAAUAACGCCUCCUUUUAUGAAAGCGAAACGAAUAAAACACAUGGAAAAUUCACGCCCUGUCAGUCGGCCAUGGCGUCCAUUCCAGCCGCGAUGAUCUUCCCGGAAAAAUAUUUUUGUAAGUAUGUGACAAAACUUAAAAACGAUAGCUUGAUAGAACUGGAUAAAUAAAUCACUAAUGAAAA